rnacentral:rRNA from 2 species
UAACAAGGAUUCCCCUAGUAACUGCGAGUGAAGCGGGAUGAGCUCAAAUUUAAAAUCUGGCGGCUUUGUCGUCCGAAUUGUAAUCUGGAGAAGCGUUUUCCGCGUCGGACCGUGUACAAGUCUCUUGGAACAGAGCUUCAUAGAGGGUGAGAAUCCCGUCCAUGACACGGACCGCCGAUGCUUUGUGAUACGCUCUCGAAGAGUCGAGUUGUUUGGGAAUGCAGCUCAAAAUGGGUGGUAAAUUCCAUCUAAAGCUAAAUAUUGGCGAGAGACCGAUAGCGAACAAGUACCGUGAGGGAAAGAUGAAAAGCACUUUGGAAAGAGAGUAAAACAGUACGUGAAAUUGUUGAAAGGGAAACGCUUGAAGUCAGUCGCGUUUGCCGGGACUCAGCCUUGCUUCUGCUUGGUGUAUUUCCCGGUAGACGGGUCAACAUCGAUUUUGGUCGACGGAUAAAGGGGUUGGGAAUGUGGCACCUUCGGGUGUGUUAUAGCCCUCUUCCGCAUACGCCGGCUGGGAUCGAGGACCGCAGCGCGCCUUUAUGGCCGGGGGUUCGCCCCACGUUACGCGCUUAGGAUGUUGGCAUAAUGGCUUUAAGCGACCCGUCUUGAAACACGGACCAAGGAGUCUAACAUGCUCGCGAGUGUUAGGGUGGAAAACCCUUGCGCGUAAUGAAAGUGAAAGUUGGGACUCUCGUGAGGGAGGCACCGACGCCCGGCCCAGAAGUUCUCUGACGGUGCUGCGGUAGAGCGCGUAUGUUGGGACCCGAAAGAUGGUGAACUAUGCCUGAAUAGGGCGAAGCCAGAGGAAACUCUGGUGGAGGCUCGUAGCGAUUCUGACGUGCAAAUCGAUCGUCAAAUUUGGG